GUGCCAGCCGCUGCGGUAAUACGUAGGGGCAAGCGUUGUCCGGAAUUAUUGGGCGUAAAGCGCGCGCAGGCGGUUCUUUAAGUCUGAUGUGAAAUCCCACGGCUCAACCGUGGAGGUGCAUUGGAAACUGGGGAACUUGAGGACAGAAGAGGAGAGUGGAAUUCCACGUGUAGCGGUGAAAUGCGUAGAUAUGUGGAGGAACACCAGUGGCGAAGGCGACUCUCUGGUCUGUCUCUGACGCUGAGGUGCGAAAGCGUGGUAGCAAACAGGAUUAGAUACCCUGGUAGUCCACGCUGUAAACGAUGAGUGCUAGGUGUUAGGGGCUUCCACCCUUAGUGCUGAAGUUACGCAUUAAGCACUCCGCCUGGGAGUACGGCCGCAAGGCU
rnacentral:rRNA from 1 species